rnacentral:lncRNA from 1 species
GAGAGGCAUUCGGAGGGGGGCUGCUGCACUGCUUUUGGAGGUCUUUUCUGUUACUUUUAAUGGGUCAAUGUGUGGAUAGUUGGCACUCAGGCCAGCCAGAAUCUGAUGGAGGUCUUUAGAUGCAAGACAGAACUGAUCACCAACCACAUUGUCUGAGUAUGUUAGCGGGACUGUGAAAGUCCAAGAAAGUUGGUUUUGUGUAACUUCAGUCAGACCAAUGAGUUUACAUGUCCAGCUGUAGUCAAACUAAUGCCCUGAAUCAAUCUGAACAUGUAAAAAGAAAUGAGUGAAAGCAUCCUCAUUUUAUUGUACACACAUCGGCUUUAUGUGAAAGCCCACUCUACUCUAUGAGCAAAUAGAAAGACUAAAAAGACCUGUGAAUGCAUGUCUGAUAGGCCUGUUGUAUAUAUUCCUGUGACAUUAAGCUGUAUGUUUGCAGAAGGAUAUAAAGUUAUAGUGUAAAGGACAAAGCAGCUUCGGCCUGAUAGAGGAAACUGAUAACUUUUCUGUUUUAUGAAGUUUGUGCUUUCCUUUUUCUGUGUUGAAGUCAGGGUCAGUCAGCACAUCACAGUGUGACAGUUUUUGGGGUUAGACUUAAAUUUCAGUUUUAAGUCGCCAGCCCAGGAAAAAACCUGACAAACAACAUUUCAGGUUUUUCUUACCUUAGUUAGUUAGUCUUGAAUAAGUUAGCCGCUGUCUUUAAAAGAAAAGAAAAAAACAAACAAAACAUACACACAUAGAGGAUGAAAACCCCGAAAACAACCUUAAACUUUAGUGGAAAUAAUUUCAAAGACAUAUUUUUGGGGGGGUCAUAUUUUGUGUAAUUAAUUCCUAUAGAUUGUCCACAACUCCAUAUGGAUGGCUGGAGGAGGCAGGAUUUAUGACCUAUACUGCAGCCCAUCACCAGAGGGUGCUGUUCUCACGGUGGCUUCACCCAGCAAAGAGGCAGACCGCGUCCGUUCUAUAUACAGUCUAUAAGUGAGACAUUGUAACUGGCAGACUGUGUAGCUGCAGUCUGAAGUUCUCUAAAAAUAGAGGAAUAGAUUAAUUAUUUGGAUUUAACAUUUAGAUUCAUAUUUAGUAUUUUGAUUUAUUAUUUAGAUUUAAAUUUAUUUUAUGUAGGUUUUACCUAGAAUUUCCUUAUCUGCAACUAAUAAUUUCCCCAUUAAUCAUAUGAAAAAUGAUCUACAUGUGCAGAUAAUGAGCUUAAUGUGACAAAUAAAUGUGUUUAAAUAUUUACAAUAAACUUUUUACAAACAGCACCUCAUACACAUCAGUGUGAACACACCAGCCUCUUCCUUAACACAACCCUCUGCCCAGCUGGGACUCUCUCCAGCACUUUUUCAUCCUCCCGCUGAGUCUCACAAAUACUGCCGCUCUGAUGCUGAGAGAGACACACUGCUCCUAUUUCCCUGCUCAGGCUGAAUGGAUGAUCAUUGCAUUUUCCCAGCAUGCCAUGGGAGGACCUUUUCAACUGUGGGCUGAAAUAUGUGACUCCCAAAGUCAUGGUGAAACUGCUUUUUUAAAUUAGCUUCACUGCUAGCUGACAUAUUGACAAAUGUGGAGGGAGAGGAGCUCUUUUCACUUACAAAUGAACCUCCCAGAAUAACGACUUUUUACCCAGCUGUGUGACUCUGUACCAAGAGUUAAGAAGUCAAUCCAAAUACAAAGUGCUUGGGGAGGGAACGAGGUAAUCAAGUUUAACGUUGUUUCUGCACUUGGAGGGAAAGAGUUUGUUGUGUCAGUAAAGUCUGAAUUCAUCCAAACUCAGUACAGACAAGACUUUCUCUCACGGGCUAACACAGAGACGCUAAUGCAUGCUUUUAUCUCCAGUCGUCUUGACUAUUGUAACGCCCUGCUUUCUGGUCUUCCAAAAAGAAACAUCUCAAGUCUACAACUGUUGCAAAACUCAGCAGCACGUGUGCUGACAAAGACCAGAAGGCGGGCACACAUUACACCGGUUUUAAAAUCACUGCAUUGGCUCCCUGUGUGCUUUAGGAUUGAUUUUAAGGUCCUUUUAAUGGUUUUUAAAUGUCUUAGGGGUCUUGGACCUUCUUAUCUUUCAGAAUUGCUUUUACAAUAUGAACCCUGAAAUCCUCUGGCACUGGCCUUUUAAUAGUCCCCAAAGUGACAACACAAACUUUUGGUGAGGCAUCUUUUCAGCACUAUGGCCCCCGUCUUUGGAAUAGCCUGCCGGAGGACCUUAGGGCCGCAGAGAAUGUUCAUAUUUUUAAAAGCAGUCUCAAGACCCACCUAUUUAAUUUGGCUUUUAACUAAUGUCUUAUUUUUAAUCUAUAUUUUUAUCCUAUUUUUAUCUUAUUUUAUUUCAUUUAUAUAUUUUAGUCCUCAUUUUACAUGUAAUGUUUGUUCUAUUUAUUCACUUAUUUUUGAAUGGUAUUUUAGCUAUUUAUCAGUAUUUUAUAAUUUUAUCUAGUUUGAUGUUUUUAGCUGAUUUAGUUAAUGUUUUCAUUGCCUUUCUCCAGUGUUUCCUCAGUGGGGGCCACCUGCACUGGAGGCUGUGACUGGCUCUGUCCAGGGUUUCUCUGCCUCGUGGUGUGCGCUCAGCUCGGCCAGGUGGUGGUCUGCAGCAGUGCCUGCUGCUGUGGGCCCCUCACUGGCCUGUAGCGGGGUGCACACCCGGGUGGAGGUGUCCUGGCCCUGGGCUGUGAGCAGCCUCCAGCGCAGUCGGCCUCCUGACGUUUCCUGACUCCUCCUCCACAUGCUUUUAAGAUUGCAUUAUCUGUGUGUGUGUGUGUGUGUGUGUGUGAGUUGGGGUGGGCUCUCAGUGAGGGUUGGGUUGCGGGCUGGAUAUGGGGGGGCUCAUUGUUUUAAAUUGUAAAGCACUUUGUGCUGCAUUUCUUUUUGCCUGAAAAGUGCUAUAUAAAUAAAGUUUGAUUUUUUGAUUGACAAGAGACCUUCAGAGGAGAAUGAAGAAAUGUUUCAGAUGAUCCAGUUCAGGUACAAAACUGUUUUUUUUUUUUGAUAGUUAUAAUAAAAAGAGUUUCUUUAUCAUUGACUCAUCCUUGGGAAAUUUGAGAAAUACUGUUUUGCAAUGGCAAUAUGCUGCGUUGUAGGUGGGUCAUACAUCUCCCAGUGACAAGCUUCUCAUGCAACCACUUCAAAAACCCAUACUAUCUCUUUAAACAGACCUUAUUCAACUCUGCUGUAUUUCUAUCAUAGCGACAUGUAUUGAAUUAUCUGUGGGCAGUGAGACCUACAGAGGUGUCCUCAGUGUGAUCUAGUUUCUCUUUUCUCCUGUAGGAAACUUAAAGAAGUGAGUGAAACCAUGUUUGACUCUUGCAAAGGUCAGCAGAAUUACAAAGGCUAUUAUAUGAUAAUUUUUGUCCUGGCUCAUUUUACCUUUGAAUGCUCUACUCUAGGUCCAUAGCAACAUCCCUCAAACUCUCUAGAGACGUGACAUAGCUAAGAAUCCAUUCAGUGUGCCUUGUUAUCACUGCCAGAUUGUUGGGUUGUCACAGACAAGCUGCAGCCUCCUCAGCUGAAAAAUGAAGCCAACGCUGAAGCAUCUGUGCAUGUGUCUGCACUCACCAUAUCAAACACAGAUAUAUCAAUGGAAGUUAUCAACAGUGAUAACAGAAAGCAGCUGACUGUAGUGAUGAGUGGACAAGUUCAGGCAUUAGUUUACCAAAGUCAUGUUCCCCAGAUCCCUGAGUCAAGCCUUGGUACAGGGGCCUUAAAACAUGGUUCUCACAGGCUGUGAUUCACUUCUUCGUUAUCACACUUGGGUAAAGCUUUGAUAGCCAGCUCCUCUCGUCUCCUUAGGUCCACCUGUCUCUCAGGUAAUGACUCUGCUGCCACACAAAUCAACACGUUGUCUCCUUCAGUUUUUGACCUUCUCUUUUCUCCAACACUAACUCUCUUUGAUGAACUUCUUAAAUCCACACUUCCAGUUUCUUUCUCCUUCACCAAGAUUACACCGUGAAGUAUUGAUUUUUAAAUAUGGAUCAGAGGCAGUGAGCAGGAGGCUCUGGGGGGUCUGAUGGGAUGCAGCAGGUUGCCUGAAGCCUCUGUUCUGUGCCUGGCCUUGUCGAAUUGAUUGAUGAGAAAGUGGAGCUCGUGUUGUUUCCAUCAGGCUGGGAUUCAUCCUCCUGGCUGUACUGAUAUUCUUAUCCAGGUUUCAAAUGUCAGACGUGGAGGGAGAAAGGAAGGAAGGAGUUUCCAUCAGACUGUGAGGGUGUUUAGAAGGACAUGAGGUUGAAUGAGAUCAGACACCUGCUGAUAGACCUGCUCCAGUGUCACGUGAACACACACUCCCUGCUGAAACCCACAGCCAAUGAAAGAGCAGAGCAGCUGAGAGAUUUAGAGCCUGAGGGACAGAUGGAGAAGCUCAUGUCGGUCGUUGAUGAUGUUUUCUGUCUCUCUGUCAGCAGCAGAGUCUAAAGAAACAGCAUCGCUGUCUGAAUGGAAGACACCAACAAUGAAGAACAAACAGAGAGAGCAGGAGGGCUCUUGUUCACACCAAUGAUGUUCCCCCCAGAGGCUUUAGAGGACUACAGGUCCCCUUCAGGGUCAUUUCUCUGCUCCAGUUCACUGACUAAGCCUGAGUUCUCUCAGUAUCACGGUCUGAAUCCUAAAACACUGGAAACCUUUUUCUGAUGUGCGUGCGUGCAUGCAUGUGUGUGUGUGCCGUUGACCAAUGCAGCAUGUGAUCUGUGGACACAUCAGGAAUUCACUGCAGUGAAUUUAGAGGAUCAGUCUGUGCUGGGAAUAAAGUGAGCUUCUUCAAUUUACCUAAAGUCUGACCUCUCAGAGUCCAGAGCACAGAGACAAACACUGAACCUGACUCUUAACACAGAAGCAGAAGCAGAUUUUCCUCUAGGGAAAUGAGAUCAAUCUCUGUUUGUUGUUGUUCAUUUAGUAAGUGAUUUGUGUUUUCUGCAGUGACUGACUGCAAAACAUUGAAACAGUGAAAACAGACUGUCAGGAAGUUUGGGCUGUCAGGGAAACCCUGAACUAUCAGCUUUAUUUGAAAUGACAUGUUUUAUCUACUGGCCCAUGUCUGUGCAGGUAGUAUAAGGUGACCAAAUGUCCUUUCUCCUACGUUCUGUCAGGGCAGUCCUGGUUGUUCUCUAUAAAGUGAUGGAGUUGUCCUGGUUUUCAUUGCUUUUUAUCGGGCCACUAGGAUGGAGAAGAAAACUAAAGAUAGAGAGUAUCUCAUUGCCAGGACAAGUCCUGGUUUUUGUCUUGGUUUUCUUUACUCAAAAUAUGGUUACCCCAAGGUAGUCGACACGUUUGUUUCAUCACCAGUGAAGUGUAAGGAACUUCAAUUAAGCUCUUGGGCUGAUUUGCUCCUGGCCACUGGCACCACAAUAGACUCCUUGAGCAGUAAUGAUGCCUGAAACUGAACAAGAAAUGAACAACAAAUAUCAGUAAAAUCACCACACAGUAGGACAGACUUUAAGGGGAUUACUUAUCUGGCCCCCAGCUGUUUCUGGUGCAAUAUUAGAGGAGCACAGAUCUGACAGCAGAGGCACUGAUGAUAAUAAACAGUGACUCUCCACAUACUAAGCAAAGUGCUGUGUAAAUUUGAAAAUUCAAAUUCAUCAUUAAAACAUAAAGGACAAAAACAUAAUCAACAAGCUUGGACUUCGUUAAUGUAAACAGACCCAUUGCACCUCAUUUCUGUGAUAUUUAACCUUUAUUUUGUGCUUAAGUCAUAGUUUGGCCCUCUUCAUUUCAUAUAUCUUCAUAUCUGCCAGAUUAUGGAGUCAUUGGUGGAAGCUCGACCACCAAAACUCUCUGUCUUCCUCCUCUCUUUCCCCCUCUCUCAUUCUUCCGCAGUCUCUACCAGACAGACUAUUUCUUUGUUAGAAACACAGCAGCAGACCCAGCAGUUCCUCUACGCUUUUUCCAGGUGAGAUAUCACUUAUUCCUGCCUUUUCUGUCUGUUUUUGUUUUGGUAAAAUAACAUUUGAAUGUGGAGGAACUUUAAAAAAUGGAAAUAGCUUCAGGUAGAGACAGGGAGAUUUCAUAAAAACUGCAUUAAAGAAUCUUCACAGCAGGACAAAGAGGACCACAUGCCAGUAUUUUCCACUGAACAAACAGAAAUCAGCUUCACAAAGUCUGUGAGGAUGAAGGAGUGAACUGUCAGACGUGCAGAUUGGUGAACACAGUCCUCAUCAGGCUGGAUGCUGAAGGUCUGUCCUUGUUCUAGCUGAAGAAACCAGAUCGAUAUCACCAAUUAUCAGAACAUGUGGAGGUAACAGCUCCAACAACAAUCCCUGAGUUUCUCAGUUUCAGCAGCAGCAGCAGCUCAGACUCACUCAGGAGAAAGUGCAGGUGUUGACACUGCAGUUUCUCUUUUUCCCAUCCAUGACUAUUGCCUCAUGAAUAGAUAUGCUGGCCAGGCUCCUGUUCAUGGAUUUUGCUUUGGUCUUGGCGAGAAAACAUCCACAUUAUCAUUAAGGUUUCAGUUAACAUGUUUUAAAGAGGAAAUUAAUGAUUAUUGUCUGUGUACAUGAUUAAACCUGAGGACACAAACUGAAAGAGACUUCAUUUUUGCACAGCAAGGUACUUCUCAUGGUGACAAACAGCACAUUUAUCAUCAUUUCACUCUGCAUGUACACAAAUAUCACCUGCCAAAAUCAACAUCUAAUCAGCCAUUAACAAAUAUCUCAUCACAGAGCAUACAUCCAGGAAGGUAAUGAAUCAGAGAUCAAAGGUCAAAGUCCUUUUAGUGUCUUAAUACUCAGAGAAACUCCAACAUUAUUGAUUUCCCACAGCACAGCAUGACUCUGUGAGGUAUAAUGAGAUUUUCCCCUCAGAGGACGACUUUGUUACCACAGUAUGAUCUCCUCCUUCACCUUUAAACAAAUUAAAGGUAGUAAAUAAAGCCCACAGGUGGUUAACAAAGUUAAAGGCCAGUUUAAUUAGUUUUUGUUCAUCACAUAUAUCCCUGCAUACAGUUAAACUGGGGAUGCUUUUCUCAGUUAAAAAAAGGGUUUCUUUGCAUAUUUCAAACUCAACUUCUCUGACUCAAGACUUAGAGCACAGAAGAAGGCAGUUUGCAAAGAUGUUCAAUUAUCGGACUAUCAUUAUCAUUUGUCAGGUUUAACUUAGCUAAUUGCUUAGUAGGAAAAAAGAAAAAAAGCAUUAUGUCUGAGAUGUUCUGGUGCUCACUCACAUAAAUGUGAAGGGAGCAGGGAAUCAGCCUGCAGGCCUGGAGAUUUGAAAGAGCUGCACAUCUGUGUCUCAUUAGCUACCUAUAAAACUAAAGAAAAGAAUAAAAAAAAGAAUAAAGAAUAAUAAGCCCAAUC